AGACCUAUGAAGGUCGAAGGGGAAGAAAAGCUGUAUCGAUUGUUGAGAUCUGGCGACUUGUUUAAAUUUCAUCAGCCUCACUUCUAUGAACUCUCAGGACAGCUCACAGUAUGGCAGCUGACAUUCUACAGAGUGAGCAGGUGAAGGAAAGAAAGAAAAGAGCUGAUUACCAACUCCUACCACUGUUAACCCUCAUCCAGGAACAAGCUUAUGUCUUUAACAUUCUGAGUGGGCUUCAGCAUCCUUGCAUAUGUUCAAUUCUUAAAAACCUGUUGAAAUAAAAGAUCAGGAGACAUAGGAAGGAUGCCAGAAGAGAGCGUGGCCUCACGUGUACCAGCUCUCUGCUCUCCUUUGCCUUGGGACGUUCCAUCCCUGGAAGUUUCCCUGCCCACAUCUUUGUAGAGAGUCCAUUCUCCAAGCUUCAGUGUGUCAUCUGUGAGGACCGUGACCCACCUGGUACAUCGCCUCAGGGCAUUCAUUUCAGGCUCCUUCUAAAUGGCCAAGGUAUUAUGGUUGACCCUAAAGAAGCAUCAGCUUGGCUUUGCACCAAAGAAGUUUUUAGUCAAGUUGGAGAGAGAUCACUACUCAAAGAACGCAAGAGACUAAUGGAAGACAGAAUAUAUUGGCAGCAGACUAAAAGGCAGAAUGGUCACACUUCAAAAUGUUUGGUACAAGCUAUGGUGAUGUUAUUGAUCUUCUGAUUUGAUGUUCCUGUGAAGGUUCUAUGACCUAUUUUGAUAUGUAGACAGUGGUAAAAUGCUCAAAGCUCUUUGCUACGAUAUGUAAUAACAAAGGGAACAGUAAAAAAUAUUCUGUUUAAAUAAGCCAGAUCACUUUUACAUGUGAUGGCCAAGCCAUGCAGGGGAGGAGGUGCUGAGCCUGGUUCUGUUAGUAACUGAGUGGUAGCUGAAGAAGACAAAUCUAACCAGGCAUGGCAAGUCCGUGGAUGCCAUGAGAGCCUGUGCAUUUAGAACUAGGGCACACUAACAGAGAUCAAACUAAGUUUUUCCACUAACAUCAGACCUUUGCAAUUUAAUGAUUAUAAAACUUUCCUAACAUUUGCAAGUUUCUAAACAUUUAUUUUCUUUUAUUCUGUGCAAUUCCUAUUACCAUUGAAAUUAUUUAGGUCACAUAUUUUUGUGUUAUUUAAGUAACACUCAAAGACAAAACCAAGAAAUUCUUUUUCUACUUUUAACCAUCCUGAUUGGAUAGUUUAUAUUUAUAUCAAGUUCUAAUCUCCUAAAAUUUUUAGUGUGUUUAAUAAUGAAUCUUUGAAGAAUAUGAUACACUUGUGUAAUAGCUUUUUCAUAUAAUAAAAUUUUCCAAAGUAAAUAACCUGACAAAUUAAAAAAAACUCAUACAUUAAAUGUAAAGUACUAUUUUGUUAUAAUCAUAGAAUUUAAUAAAUUAAAAGGAUUUUAGAG
ensembl:lncRNA TEX41 testis expressed 41